rnacentral:tRNA from 1 species
GCAGUCAUGGCCGAGUGGUUAAGGUGGACUAGAAACACAGGUUCGAAUCCUGUCGACUGCG